UCACUUACCCCGUUUUGCGUAACUCCUCAACGUAAAAAAAGGUGCUGACCAGCCUACCGAAACACACCCACCCAUUAUAAUGAGAGCCCACCUAACGAAAAUUCGCAUUUCUCUGCAGGUUGUGGAAGAAUCAUCGCAACAUCACCUCUCCCUGGUUUCCUCAGUUCUUCCUGUUAAGAGUUUUCUUGAUGGCGACGAAUAACUAUCCACCAAAUAAUCCGGGUUUUGUGUACUUCCCUCCUCCAUCGGCAUGGAUCGAUCCGAAUUCAGUAUCGUCCGACGAUUGCAACAACAAUACUCCGACGUGGGUCAUUGUCUGCAUAGUGCUUGUUGUGGUCAUACUCUUCGUUUUCCUUUUCUACUACUUCUGGAAGCGAGAGAAGAAAAUCUGGAAAAUAGCGGCCUCGGCAUCUGCUCCGGCCGCAAAGUGAGACCAUCACCUGCGUCAACUACAAAGCUGGCUUGAUCCGAAUCCACUAGCCAAGCCGCCGCUAGUGGGUGUCCAGAUUUUAUUUCCAGGCGAUUGUCAGGAGGACUAUAUUCUUUCUCAUAUUUUUGCCCUCUGUGCAAGUAUAAGAUCGAAUAUAAUGUAGUGUAUUCAGAUAAUAAAUCAGACAGAAAUACUAUAUGUUAUUAAUUUGGAAGCUAAUAUGCAUUUGUGUGUUGAAACUUGAACGAUGCAUAGUGAUAAAUCAUCUACUCUCCUAUACAACAUUAGAGAUUCAAUGCAAUAAAUCAUUUUUAUGCUGGA